AUACGGCCAAUCAUAACUCAAGAAUCAAAUUGCAAAGUAAUUUUUCAUUUACCUUAUGGCUGCAUCUAACCUCUUUGUUAGAUUGCCUACGUACCCUCAAUAAGGAUCAAGCCAUUCGUAGUUCACUUAUCACAAAAUCAGACGUUUAUUCCACUAAGUUCAAGCAGAAAAGAAAAACAUUCCUCAAUCAUUUAUUAUAACCUGUCAACAUGUAAUUCCUGGACUCAGGCUACAUAACCAAUCCCCAUGAAAACAUGAUUUCUCUCCCAUCCAACAUAUAAACCAUUAUUUCUCAUCAUGAUAUUGCAAUUCACAACACAUAUCAUAUUUAAGAGCCAACGAAACACAAAACCAUUCUCUAGCUGCAUUAAUUAAUUAAUUUGAUCAAGUAAUAACAAUCAUUCCCAUAUCUUCUAAAUCCAUACCUUAUGAAAUCAUAAUCGAAUCAUAGAAAAUCCCGAAUGAGUCACUCAAACUUCCAAUAUCUUUUCUAACUCAAUUCACAAGACUCUCGAAACCAUUAACACAAAUAUAUAUAAAACUAAGGCUAGAGUGACACAGUUAGGCCAAGCCUACUUCUCCAAAUAAUGGGAUUUUAGGCAACUCCACGAAUUUCAACAACCUUGAGUUCCGGACCACUCAACGGAACCAACCCAAAUAUGAUCGCCUAUAAAAUGUACCAGGUACAACCAAUCAUCAUCACCUCUAGAAUGCGUAUGGUCCCCCAUCGCUGAUAUAACAAGCAGAACCAUAGGCAUAAUCUUAUCGUGCAGGUAGUGAUCACCCAUCGUGGAUAUACCAAGCAUGAUCACCCCUUAAUACAUAUGGUCCCCCAUCGUGGAUAUACCAAGCAGAACCAUAGGCAUAAUCUCAUCGUGCAGGCAGUGAUCACCCAUCGUAGAGACACCAAGCAUGAUCACCCAUAAAUACAUAUGGUCCCCCAUCACGGAUAUACCAAGCAAGACCACAUUCUAGCUCUAGGUAAUGACCACCCAUGUACCACGGUUACAUGGUGCAAUUAGAUCAACACACAAACCACUUACCCUUAUCUCAUCCGUUAUGAUUUACAUCGUAAUCACUUGCACUAUCAACUUCUCAUGACCACUAUCUUAUCAUACAAGCAUAAAAGUUCUACAUAAACUUCUCAUAAGAUUUUGGGUUCACAUCGUCAUAAAAACAAUCAUUCACAUCAUACAUAUCUAACCACAUUUCAUAAACGUUUCCAAGCUACAGUAGAUUCACAAUUACUAAACAUAGAUCGAUGCUAAAAAUAAAAAUAACAAUUCAAUAGGAAGCACAUUUAAUCAACAAAUAUAAUUCAAUAUGGUGCCACUAAUACAUAUAUCGAGACACACAUCAAUUGGGAACAACACAUCAUCGUGAUGAGCCAACUAAGCUACAUCAAGCCUCAACAACAUACUAGAGGUAAGCGACCUCAAGAGUAGAGCACGUUGACUAGAACGUCAACCAUA
rnacentral:lncRNA from 1 species